UGGGGAAUAUUGCACAAUGGGGGAAACCCUGAUGCAGCAACGCCGCGUGAGUGAAGAAGGUUUUCGGAUUGUAAAGCUCUGUUAGCAGGGAAGAGGAAGGACGGUACCUGCAGAGGAAGCCACGGCUAACUACGUGCCAGCAGCCGCGGUAAUACGUAGGUGGCAAGCGUUGUUCGGAAUAACUGGGCGUAAAGGAUGCGUAGGCGGUUAAACAAGUUAUAUGUUAAAUAUAUAGGCUUAACCUGUAGAAAGCAUAUAAAACUGUUUAACUAGAGUGCAGGAGAGGUAAGUGGAAUUCCUAGU
rnacentral:rRNA from 1 species